rnacentral:misc_RNA from 1 species
AACAGCAGCCUCCAUACCAAUGACCUCCCCAAAACUGUGAUUGUGACUAUUCAUAGAUUACCCACACCACUCAUCCACGUGGGUUAAGACUUGAAACCCAAAACUCUAAAUUUAAAGAUUCAGAUAAAAAUGAUCAUUUCAAUAAACUAAAAAAUAACGAAACUUAGAAAGAUUAAGCAGAUGCUAUAAUCUCAAUCCAUUAAGUCAUAA